rnacentral:rRNA from 1 species
GACGAACGCUGGCGGCGUGGAUUAGGCAUGCAAGUCGAACGGUAUCAUCCUUUCGGGGGUGAGAGAGUGGCGAACUGGUGAGUAACACGUAGGUUAUCUACCCUCAAGACGGGGACAACCCAGGGAAACUUGGGCUAAUACCGGAUGUGAGCAACUUUUAGUUGUUUGAAAGGUGGCGUAAGCUGUCGCUUGGGGAUGAGCCAGCGUCCUAUUAGUUAGUUGGUGAGGUAACGGCUCACCUAGGCAAUGAUAGGUAGGCGGCCUUAACGGGUGGUCGCCCACACUGGGAUUGAGAUACGGCCCAGACUCCUACGGGAGGCAGCAGUCGAGAAUAGUCUACAAUGGUCGGAAGACUGAUAGUGCGACGCCGCGUGAACGAUGAAUCCCUUCGGGGUGUAAAGUUCUUUUAUAUGUGAGCAGUGCUUCUUAUAUUAACAGUAUGGGGAGAGAGAUAUUAGCAUAUGAAUAAGCAACGGCUAACUCCGUGCCAGCAGCCGCGGUAAUCU